AUCUACGGCCAUAGAACCUAUAAAAUGCCAGGUCCCGUUAGCUCCCUGAAGCCAAGUUGGGUAUCGCUCGGUCAGUACCAAGGUGGGGGACCACUUGGGAAUCCCGGGUGCUGUAGUUUUUG
rnacentral:rRNA from 1 species